AUGAUAUUUGUGAAGCCACCAUACCAACAAAGAGCCUCCAAAUAUGCUUAUCAACAAAGAGAAUACAAAGAUCAUCAUGCAAGACUUUGUUCUUAUCUUCUGGCUUUCAUCGUAGUCUCCAUUUUCCACUUCUUUAGCUUGUUCCAUCUAAUUGUAGCCUCACAAAGAAAAAAGGGUUGCCCUGAAAUUGAAAAUAAACUAAAACAUGUUUCUCAUAUGCUUAAAGAAAAAGGUACAAAGAAUAUGAAUAAAGAAGGAAAAAAACUUGCUUACAAGAGUUAUGGAAGAAGAAGAAUUGUGGUGGAUAUGAUAUGUUAG